rnacentral:rRNA from 1 species
GACAGAGGGUGCGAGCGUUGUCCGGAGUCACUGGGCGUAAAGAGCGUGUAGGCGGGCUGUUAAGUCAGGUGUGAAAUACCGCAGCUCAACUGCGGGGUGGCACUUGAUACUGGCAGUCUUGAGGGCAGGAGAGGGAAGUGGAAUUCCUGGUGUAGCGGUGAAAUGCGUAGAUAUCAGGAGGAACACCAGUGGCGAAGGCGGCUUCCUGGACUGACCCUGACGCUGAGACGCGAAAGCGUGGGGAGCAAACAGG